GAACGCGAGAGGAGGGACCUCCCAGCGACUCCUCCUGCGGGGCUGCGGCGAGCCAGGGGAGAGGGCCGAGGGCCUGUGCGCGCGCGCGUGCUCGCUCCUCAAAGAGCGCGGCGGCGAGUGCGCGCGCGGAGGGGCGGCGCGCGGGGCUGGGAGGAGGCGGGUGGGCGGCCGGCGGCCGGGAGCGCGCGGUGGACUCAGCGGCGGCGAGCAGUUACUUAGUUGUUAGACGGUGUCAGUUGCUCGGUGGCGGCGGCCGCGGUCACCAGGGAGGGGACGGGACGGCCAACGAUGGUGGUCACUGCGGCGGCGUGUGUAGCCCUCAGUAAACGUUCCUAUCUUCAGAAAAUAAGUUAAGGAAUGAGAGGCAAGGAAGAAAGGACAUUCAUCUUGGAAGAACCCAAAGCACUUUCAAAUUUUAAAGGAAUGUAAUGAUAGCUGCUAAAACCACCUUUGUCACCAUAAUGGAUGAAGUUCUUCAAAUUUAACCGAAAUCUUUCCUCAUUAAGACUCAUCUCAAAUGGUAUCACCUGCAUGCCAUCUUUCCAGACACUUCCUUCAUCCAGUAAGUACCCUAUAGUGGCACUUAUAUGUUUUGCGCUCUUUUAAACAUUACUAUAUUUUAUAUUAUCCUUCCCCUUACUUGAAAUUACUUUCUUGGGAAAUUAGCUCACUUGAAAUUAACAGUGUCUUAUUUUACUGAUCUUUGUAUAUACCAUGUCAUACAUGGCAUAUCAUAGUCACAAAAUAACAUUUGUUGAAUUAAAGAUCAGAAACAGCUAAAGGAAAAUAACAUAUAUGACAAAAAUGAUCAGAAGUCAAAUCAUGAGAGAAGUGAUCAAUAUUGAGUUCCUAGAGAGGAGAAGACUUGAGCUGACCCUCAUACGUGAGGACCCUAAAGUAAAAAACAAUCAGAGUGUAUGCUCCGAGAAUGAUAAAUGCCAUUUUAAAGUGGAUUUUAAAAUAGCAGUUUUCUUAAAGUGGAUUAAUUGUUGGCAAAUUUAAUAGUCUUUGAUUUUCUUUGGUUACAGUAGCGUUACACCUUCCUUCAUUUUAUGAAUGAUAGAGCCUUUUCACACAGUAAAUCUACUAGAAACAAAAUCAUAAUCCAGUCCAGGAAAUCCUCGUACAUGUUCUUAGAGUAAGGAUGUCUUUGUAGGUAAUAACUAGCCAUAUUGUGAAAGACCAUGAAUCCCAGUGAAGUGAUCUGCCUGAUAUUCUUUUUAAAUGCAUUUGGGACCUGGGAUAGUUUCAUUCCCAGAGGCUUGGCAGCUGAUCUCUAUUGAGUACUACUAACUCUCUCAGAAUGGUUUUCUAAGGGACUGCAUGGUUCUGAGUAAGUAGGUUCUGAAUUGCUGCUGGAAUAUGAAUGACUAGAGUAGCCUGAUAAUAAAAGACUGAGCUUUCUAGGGCUGGUACAUCCUGAGUCAUAGAGAAGCCACAUGUAUAGUCCUGUGGCAGAAUCGAGUCUCCUGGAAGAGAGUAAAAAGUAAGGUUUCAACUGUCAAAUGAAGGACUGAAAACCAGGGCCAUCUUAUCCAUUAGUGCCCAGGGCCCUCAAUACUUUAGGGGCCCAUGAAAAUGUUUUAAUGUCUUUUAAAAUCAGAAGAAAAAAGUGAACUAAAAUUGAACAAGAUGUUUUACCAUAUGACAUUAACAUAUUUGUCUUCAUACCACAGCAGUCAUAAAAUAUAAUUUUUAAAUUUUCUGUGGAGUAAGGGCUCAGUGUCUUCAUCUGUAUAAUAAGGUGUUUGGACUAGGCAACCUAUGAGGGCCCUUGCAGGUCAGAGUUUCUUAAAUGGAGUCCUACAUCAGAAGCUCUGGACAAGUUCCAGGCCGAAGCAGAUUAUCUAACAUGACCUUAUUGUGAACUCAGGUCAUGUGAGAACCCACAUGGAUACAGAACUCUGUAUUUUUUGAGCCCAGUUAGAAGUACAAGUUUGGAAAUGAUGAGAACAUGAAGUAUGUGGUAUUAGAAUGCAACUGGUAAAAGAUUAGAAGUAGUAAAAUGCCAUAUAUGUUGUAAGUACUCAGUAAAUGUUUAGUGAAUGCAUAAAAUAAUGACGUAUAUAGAAUAUCAACUUAUUUUCUUAAUCAAGAGAAAUCUGUAUUUACCAGAAAAAAUAUUAACCGGUGGGGUUUUUUUCUUAUUCUCUACAGAAAAAGCAGAAAACAUUUUGGAGAUGAUUGUAUCUACAGUAUUGAAAUCUCAUUUCUACAAAUUGUAGGAUUCUGAAGAUUUAGCUGAGAGCUCUUUUAAAUUAUUUUCUGUUUAUUUAUAAGGUUUUAUUCUUCUUUGUCUAAUCCAAAAUGUGUGCUAUAUUAAGAUAUUAGAGCAGGAUUUUUCUUACUUCUUCUGUCUGUAUGUUGUUCAUUUUUUACAUUAUUGGUGGAAAGUGAUCAAUCCUUAUUUGACGUUCCUUCUAUAGUAAAUGAGCCUCUGUUUACUCAUACUACUCCAAGCCUCCUUAUAUGCUUAGGGUUAUCAUACUGAUAAAAAAUGGGAUGAUUUAAUGGAUGCCUACAAAAUAUAUAAUUAGAAGGGUAAAUUUGCUGAAAAACAAGUAUUGCAAAAUGACAAAGAAAUUACUUCUAGAUUGCCUUGAUUGGUUUUUUUCCAGUCUAGUAAUAACUACAACUACUUUGAUGUACAUCAGAAGCACCUGAACUACUUUUAAAAAAUAUUGAUGUUUUGGCUCCAUCUCACACCUGCUGAUUUAGGAUCACUGGGGAUGUAACCCAUACAUCUAUAUUUUGAAAAAGAUCCCAGAUGAUUGUGACAGGCACUAAAGGUUGAGAACUGCAGUGUAGUAAAAUAGAAAGAAGCAUAGACUCUGGAGUUAGAGCUGAGGCCAGAUCUGUUGUAAUUUAGGUGUAUGAACCCAGAUCUAGAUCUAUGACCAAGUUACUUAAUCUCUCUGAACUUCAACUUCCUAAUCUAUAAAAUAGGAAUGGUAAUACUUUAUAAGGUAGAUGGGGGGUUAAAGGAGUUAAUAAAUGAAAAGUGCUUGACAUACAGUAAAUGAUAGCUCGUCUUGUUAUUCUAGCAGCAUCGAGUUAUGCUUGGUUUUCAUCUAGACUUAUGAAGAGUGAGGCUUUUCUACUAAUAGCUCUUCUCUGCAUCCAAAAGGAUAUUUAUGCAGAACUUCCUCCAGCUAUCUUUUAAUUAAACAGAUUUACUUUGUUUUGAAGUUUCCUCCAAGUUUGCGUUUUUGCUACUCAGAAAAUAGUGGUAGAGAAAGUAGGUGGCUUGGUGUUCAGUUUCUCUAGCAUCCUCUGGAGUAGCUAAUUAUCUCUGGAUCCAGUUUCAAAGUUAUUUAUUGUCUUAUUUUAAGAACAGGUAUAUUGGUAUAUCAUGAACUUGGACGCAAACUUGUUACUUGCAAAACCAUAGAACAAUGAGUUUUCAUCAAUGAAAGAACGUAUGGAUGCCUAACUCUUUGUAUUGGCAACUUUUUCAUCAUAUUUUUAUAUGGUUAAUCUCUGUGAAUUUGUAAAUGAUAGUGUUUCAGAUUUAUUUUGAAACAUAUCAGGUCAGUUUAACUGACAAUAUAAUGACAUGAAACUACAAGAUAAAGGAGAAGAGGAGAGAGACUGUUCUGAGUUCCUGGUUAUGGUCUUUCCAUCUGUGUAACAUUAUGCACAUAUCCUUUUAUUUUCAGUUGCUGUGAACUUGACAGAAUUAAAAAGAAAGUACUUAUUUUUCUUUCUUUUUUCUUAGUUGAGGAUUGAUCGAGUACUCAGAGCAUAAGGCUAAGCAUGAAUAUUUAAUUUACAUAAACUUUGCCUAGCAUUUAACAAGGGUAUCAUAAGCUGCUUUCUCUCAUGAAACGUACAUUCAUAACACCUUCUCAUUGAAGGGGCUCCCCGUUUAUUUACUUUCUUGGAUUCAUGAUAUAUAAAAAACAGUGAGUGUAUUAAAUGUUGUUUUGAAUUUAAACAUUGCACAUGCUGGAGAUUACAUAACAUCAUGCUUGAUAUAGCCUUUCUACUUCUUUUAUUUCUAGGAUUGUCUUUAAUACAUCAGGAGUAGUCUUCCAUUAUGCCUAGUUAUUUGACGGUUUCAUUUUGUUUUUUUGUAAGCCUCUUCUCAGAUUGUACCAUUGUAUAUUUUGGACAAGAAAACCAUAUAGGAAAAUUUAAUACCACAACUUUCUUUAGACAAGAAAAUGCAGAAACUACAGCAGAUAAGGAUGUGAAUGGACAAAAAGCAUUUUAACCACCUUACAUAUUCAGAGAUCUUGACUCUAAACAGUUGGAAUCUUGGCAUUAUAGUUUACCUGAACAACUACACUAGUAUGACACCAGUCAGUGAAACAUAUUAAGUGUAUACUAUGUACAGGGUCUCAGUGAACAUACAAAAGAAGUAGACUGUCUCAGAGAAUAAUAUAGUUAGGGAAAUAGCCACAGACCCAUAAAUACAAUUGCAAAGUAACAUUCACACAACCAAACUCUUUCUUAACAGGGGCAAUGUAGCAUAAUACUUGAGGACAUAAACUUUGAAACCGAAUUGCCUGAGCUGAAAUCUCAAGUCCUCUACUGUGUGACCCUGGGCAAGUUACCUCAGAGUGCUUUAGUUUUCUCAUCUGUAAAGUGGAGAUAAUAAUUGAUUUGAAGUGUGGAGGGUCUUGAAACCCAAGCUAAGAAAUUUGGGUUUGACAUGCUGAGGAAAUAGGGAGUCACUGUAAUUUUUUGAACAGGCAAGUUACACGAUGAAAUUAACUAAGGAACCUUAUUUUAGUGACUGUAUAUGGAUGGAGUGGGAGGGCCUAGAGGCAAAGACACCAGCUGGGAGACUGCCAGAACAGUAUGUGUGAAAUAAUGUGAAGGAUGCAACUGUGGAAGUAGAAAUAGAUGGACAAGACCAAAAAUGACUGUGGAGAGAAAAAAUUCAUCCAGAUUUCGUGAUGGAUUGGAUGUGUUUUUAAAUAUCCUUCUCCCUACAAAUGGCAUAAUUCAGCAAAAUCUUAGAAAAUUCUGGUGUAGCAGCUCAGUGGAAAUCGCCUGUAAGUACUAUCAGAAAUUAUAAACUCUGAGGACUCCAGCUGGUACUGUGUGCAUUCACUUACGGCUUCAUCUGCCCCUUUAUACACUAGAGUGCAACAGGAAACAUUGGCUGCUGUAUGUAGACAGUAUCUCUAUAGGAGAUGCUUACUGAACUGAAUGCCUUUGUUUAGAACUAAUUGACCUUUCCAAAACAGCAUUUUUUUAGAACGUACUCAAAUUAGGCAGACUUUAACCAUCUGAUAAGUCAGAGACAAAUCACUCUUUUAAUCAAGGUCAACAAUCAUUGUUGAAGGAGAAAAGAAGCAAAAAAGGAAGGCACCAUCAGACAAAAGAACACUGUAUUAGUAAAUACUAGACAAUUAGGAAAAUUUUAUUAUAAUUAGAACAUGGAAUUGUAUCACUAAUGCUUUCCUAACUUAUAAUAUUAGCUGAGUGACACCAAUCUUUUUUCAGCCCUUUUUGUUGUGGGAAAUAAGAAUGUUAGAUUUAUAAGAUUAUAAAGUAGAAGAGUCUGGAAUUAGAAACCAGAUAGUGUCUCAUUAUCUUGGUCUGAAUUUAUUUUUCUUUGGUUGGAAAGAUUCUUGAAGUUAAAGUAGAAAAUACAUAUGCUGUUUUCUAAGCUUUUUGUGGAUUUUCUCUUAGAUAUUUUUUAUUAUUAUGAGUGAUGAAGAAUAACCCUGACAAAAAAUAAGACUAACAUUCGUUUCAGAGAGAAUAUAUUAAAGGGAUAGAUUUUGACUUAGAGGCAGUCUUUAUUGUUGUUCUGCAUGAAGGCAUUAUAAACCUAACAAAUGUAAAUAAUAAAUACGUUUUUAGAGAUCUCUCAGAUGAGGUUAUUGUUUUUCCUUUAGAAUUAACUCAUUGUCAUCUGGUCAGAUAGUUCCAGCAGGUUGUUUUUAGCUACCUAGCAAAGCUACUGUUUUCAGUGAGGAGAGGAAUCCAUCAGUAAUUUUAUGUUUUAGUUUAUGUAACAGGACAGUGGUAGUAAUUUAUUUUAUCAAUCAAUUACUUAAAGGAUUUAAUUAAGUAUUCUCUCUAUAAUCAAAUGCAUUACCACUCUCCCCACUACUCUUAAUGGUUUGGGUAGUGGCCAGCUGUGUAAGAGGAGUAAGAUAUUUUUCCAAGAUCUUUUGUCUUGACAAAUGAAUUCAGAAAUCCUUGCCUUUAGCCACAGUGUUAGAGACCUCUAUUGAUACAGAAAAUUGCAUUUUGUAGGAUAAUAUCCAGAUUGCUUGCUACUAUAAUUAAAUUAUAAGAAAAAUCUUGACUUUGGGUGAAGACAGCUCUUGCUUAUAAGUGCGUUUCAUCCCUUCAGGUCCUAUCUUGGCCCUUUUGCCCUGAUCACUCUAAGGUACGACUUUGACUAGGCAUGUGCUGUUGCUUUUCUGUUUAGGCUUGGACUUUAGCUAGGAAUGAGUAGGUGAAAGGUGAGAGAUGAAACUAAGUUCUUACGAGGUAGGAUUGAAAGAAUGGAAUAAUGACUUCAAAAUUUGCUGCAAAAAUGCUUUUAGCAAGUGAAGCAAAAGCUACUAUACACAAUUUACAGAAUUAAUCAAAUCAUGGAAAUGCAUGAAAAUACCUGUUUUUUGUGGAUUCGUUAUCCAUAGGCUAAUUUCUACAUCUUUAGACCAGUUUUGAGCAUCAUUUAGUCAGUACUGGCUUAAUUAUAAUUAAAAUCAUUGCUUAUCGAGCUUUCAUGAACAGACUAAUCUUUCAAAAACAGAUUGUUUCAGUAGGUCUGGAAUGAAACCUGAGAUUCUACAAGCCCACAGGUGAUCCCAAUGCUGCUGAUUAGUGGACUACAUUUUGAGUAGCAAGAGUCAAAUUAUGGUUCUUAUUACCUGUGGCUCCUAUUUCCUUAUUCUGUGUCUGCCUUUUUGCUCAUAAGAUUAGCUGUUUGCCCUUUAUUUUGGCACUUCAAACUAUUUCAUAAUGUUUAUUUAUUAUGUGACAAAGAAAAUUGCAUCUGGAAGACAUGCCCCUUUUUGAGUGGAAACUCCAUGCUUUGUCUCGGGGCCCCACUGGUGUGCCCCAGAGGAGUCUUUCAUUAUUGUUGCUUGCAAGAAUAUUGAAUCAUUGACAGCAGCUGACUAACAGAGAUUUUCCCAUUUAAUUACAGGUAUAUGGAAAAAGCAUAGGUUUUAGAGUAGGACUUGGAUUGUGUGACCUUGGUCAGGUUACUAAAUUUCUUUCACUCUCAAUUUGUUAGUCUGUAAAAUGAAAAUACCGCAUAAGGUCAUUGGGAUAGUUAGUGAUUAGCAAUAUUGUAUUUGAAGCACCUGGUGUAGUACAUGCAGUAUAGCAGGCAUUUGGUCGUUAAUAGUAAGCAUUUCAGUCACUGAAUGGGAUGAGACAAGCGUUAAAAACUAAUUUUCUUAACGUUUAGGCAUUUCAUUAGCAAUGUAGCUAACAAGGAGAGAAAAUUUUGUGG
rnacentral:lncRNA from 1 species